rnacentral:rRNA from 1 species
CCUACGGGUGACUGCAGUGGGGAAUAUUGCACAAUGGGGGAAACCCUGAUGCAGCGACGCCGCGUGAGUGAAGAAGUAUUUCGGUAUGUAAAGCUCUAUCAGCAGGGAAGAAAAACGCUGGUACCUCGUAAGCACGCCCCGGCAAACUACGUGCCAGCAGCCGCGGUAAUACGUAGGGGGCGAGCGUUGUCCGGAAUGACUGGGCGUAAGGGGAGUGUAGGCGGCAUAUUAAGUUAUGUGUGAAAGCCCGCGGCUCAACCGCGGAAUUGCACAUAAAACUGGUAAGCUGGAGUGCAGGAGAGGUAAGUGGAAUUCCCGGUGUAGCGGUGGAAUGCGUAGAUAUCGGGAGGAACACCAGAGGCGAAGGCGACUUACUGGACUGUAACUGACGCUGAGGCUCGAAAGCGUGGGGAGCAAACAGGAUUAGAUACCCUUGUAGUC